GGCUCCUCUUGGAAUCUUCUGAGUAAGCCUAGGAUAAGGGCUACUGGCUCAGCCUUGACAGAGUGCCAAGCAGGGGCCAGGAAGGCAGCAUCAGUGAGGAGGGCCUGAGCAUGUCAGAACUCUCCACAAGCACUAGGGAUUGCUGAACCGCUCUGACUGAGCAGGGGGUUUGGAGCAGAUGACCCAACCCAGGAUUCCUUCCAACCUCUGUCAUUCUGUGACUCUGUCAUUCUGUGAAUUGAAAGUAGAAACUGAUG